UGGCGGACGGGUGAGUAAUGCUUGGGAAUCUGGCUUAUGGAGGGGGAUAACUACGGGAAACUGUAGCUAAUACCGCGUAAUAUCGAAAGAUUAAAGUGUGGGACCUUCGGGCCACAUGCCAUGGGAUGAGCCCAAGUGGGAUUAGGUAGUUGGUGGGGUAAAGGCCUACCAAGCCUGCGAUCUCUAGCUGGUCUGAGAGGGUGGCCAGCCACACUGGAACUGAGACACGGUCCAG
rnacentral:rRNA from 1 species